rnacentral:rRNA from 1 species
GAAAGUAAACAAGGGCGCAUGGAGGAUGCCUAGGCUCUCGGAGGCGAAGAAGGACGUGAUAAGCUGCGAAAAGUUACGGUAAGGCGCAAAUAGCCGUAGACCCGUAAAUAUCCGAAUGGGGCAACCCGGCCAGCAAUGGCCAUACCGCCAAGCGGUAAGCCAACGCGGGGAACUGAAACAUCUAAGUACCCGCAGGAAAAGAAAAUAACAAUGAUUCCGCCAGUAGUGGCGAGCGAACGCGGAACAGCCCAAACCACCCGUGUUACGGCACGGGUGGGGUAGAAGGAUCCACGACACGGCAAGAAAUAAGUUAGCGGAAUACGAUGGAAAUCGUAGCCAGAGACGGUGACAGCCCGGUACGCGAAAACCGACAGAAGCCCAGUGGACACCUGAGUAACCCAGGACACGAGAAAUCCGGGGCGAAUCAGCGGGGCCCAUCCCGUAAGGCUAAAUACUCCCGAGAGACCGAUAGCGAACCAGUACUGUGAAGGAAAGGUGAAAAGAACCUCGAACAGAGGAGUGAAAAAGACCCUGAAACCAUACGCCUACAAGCGGUCGGAGCCCCUACGUGGGGUGACGGCGUGCCUUUUGCAUAAUGAACCUACGAGUUACUUUUGCCAGCCAGGUUAAUCGAUUCAGUCGAGGAGCCGAAGCGAAAGCGAGUCUUAAUAGGGCGGUAUAAGUUGGCAGGAGUAGACGCGAAACCAAGUGAUCUACCCAUGAGCAGGUUGAAGGUUAGGUAACACUAACUGGAGGACCGCACCGGUAAACGUUGAAAAGUUUUCGGAUGACUUGUGGGUAGGGGUGAAAGGCUAAUCAAACUUGGAGAUAGCUCGUACUCCCCGAAAUGCAUUUAGGUGCAGCCUUCUGACUAUAUUUAAGAGGUAGAGCGACUGAUAAGAUGCGAGGGCUUCACCGCCUAUCAAGUCUUGAUAAACUCCGAAUGCUUAAAUAUGAAUCAGAGGAGUGAGGGCAUGGGUGCUAAGGUCCAUGUCCGAGAGGGAAAUAACCCAGACCACCGGCUAAGGUCCCGAAAUAACGGCUAAGUUGAAUUAACGAAGUAGAAUUGCAAAGACAGCUAGGAUGUUGGCUUGGAAGCAGCCAUUCAUUUAAAGAGUGCGUAACAGCUCACUAGUCGAGGAGUUUUGCAUGGAUAAUAAUCGGGCAUAAGCCCUUUACCGAAGCUGUGGAUGUCGCAAGACAUGGUAGGGGAGCAUUCCGGCGGCGACGAAGGCCGUCCUCGAGGACGACUGGAGCUCCCGGAAAAGCAAAUGUAGGUAUAAGUAACGAUAAAGGGGGCGCGAAACCCCCUCGCCAUAAGACUAAGGAUUCCUGAUCAACGCUAAUCGGAUCAGGGUAAGUCGGGCCCUAAGGCGCAGCCGAACGGCGCAGCCGAUGGAAGAAACGGUAAAGAUUCCGUUACUGGAUAUAGGAGCGAUGUGGAGACGGAGAAGUGACACACCCGCCUGCCGACGGAAGCGCAGGUUAAAGGAAGUAGGUAAACGCCGGGCAGGCAAAUCCGCCCAGCGUGCCGAAGCUGACAGUAUCGAGAGCCCCCGGGCAAUCGAAUAGCGGUGGUAACCAGGCUCCCAAGAAAAUCCGCUAAGCAUAUUCUAUAUCCACCCGUACCCCAAACGGACACACGUAGUCGGGUAGAAUAUACCAAGGCGCUCGAAAGACUCACGGUUAAGGAACUAGGCAAAUUGACCCUGUAACCUCGGGAAAAAGGGUCCCCAGUAAGAUGGGGCGCAGAGAAUAGGUCCAGGCAACUGUUUAACAAAAACACAGGGCUGUGCAAAAUUUGAAGAUGAAGUAUACAGCCUGACACCUGCCCGGUGCCGGAAGGUUAAGAGGAGAGCUAAUCGCAAGAGAAGGCUUGAAUUGAAGCCCCGGUAAACGGCGGCCGUAACUAUAACGGUCCUAAGGUAGCGAAAUUCCUUGUCGGGUAAGUUC